GCGCUUAACACAUGCAAGUCGGACGAGAAAGUGGGGGCAACUCCAUGAGUACAGUGGCGUACGGGUGAGUAACACGUGGGGAUCUACCUUCUGGUGGGGGAUAACUCUGGGAAACCGGAGCUAAUACCGCAUGAGCAGGGGACUGGAAAGCCGAAAGGCGCCGGAAGAGGAGCCCGCGGCCGAUUAGCCAGUUGGUGAGGUAACGGCUCACCAAAGCCAAGAUCGGUAGCCGGCCUGAGAGGGCACACGGCCACACUGGCACUGAAACACGGGCCAG
rnacentral:rRNA from 1 species